AGGGGGCAAGCGUUAUCCGGAAUUACUGGGUGGAAAGGGAGAGUAGGAGGCAAGGUAAGAGAUAUGUGAAAGCAUUAAGCUUAACUUAAGGAUGGCAUAACGAACUAUCUAGCUAGAGUACAGGAGAGGAAAGCGGAAUUCCUAGUGUAGCGGUGAAAUGCGUAGAUAUUAGGAAGAACACCAGUGGCGAAGGCGGCUUUCUGGACUGAAACUGACGCUGAGGCUCGAAAGCGUGGGGAGCGA
rnacentral:rRNA from 1 species